GAAGAGUGAAGGCUACAGUCUGGGGACAGAAUGCUAAGAGCACCGCUUGUACCCAGAUUGAACUGGACUCGAUUCUACACAAUCUUGGACACAACAUUGAGUAUCUAAUCUUCACCCAGAAAUGUGAGCGACAGAUCAGCCUCUUCACGUGACUGACAUACCAGCUCCAAUGGCCCAUCAACCUGCCAGGCAUCCUUUUCAAGUCAAAACACCCCGUCUUCUGCUUUUCCCAUCUGAUGAGUAGGGAGCUGCUGAGAGGGCUUUGGGAGAGCAGGAGAGCUCUCCUCCUCCCCUGUGAACUGUGAAGGCCAGCUGGCAGUGUGGGUGGCUCCUGAGACAGGAGCAGGGAUAGUUAGUUCUAUUUGCAGUCGUGAAGGUAAAGUCAACAGUGUCUGUCUUUAGGCUGCUCCCUGUGUACUCAACUGACCUCGGUCAACCCUCUCUAAAUAAAAGCAGUGAUAGAAAUUUCCAAGACAAGAUGGCCUCUGAGAGCAGUGUGUUACAAUGCCAUCAAAACCUCAUGCAGUGAGUCUAAAGCUACAGAGUCACCGAACAUCAAGAAGGGCUCAUCUUCAAGGAUGCCACUGGUGCCGUUAGGGGAGGUCCAUCUUUCUGGCUACUGUUUCUUUAGCGUCACAUAGGCUCCUUUCAGCUUUACAAAGAUCUCACAUCACUAAUGCUUAUUGCCUAGCAAAGGUCAUCUGGGAUGGUUAGUGUAGAUGGUCACCUUGACAGGAUCUGGACUCACCUGGGUAACAAACUUCCAGGCACACCUGUGAGGGAUUGUUUAGCCUCUGGGCAUGCGUUUGAGCGAUUGCAUUGACAAAGUUAAUUGAAAGGGGAAGAUCUACUUGAAAAUUCCUUCACACCAUUCCCUGGGGCUGGGUUCUAGACUACAUGAAAAGGAAAAGGCUGACCACGAGCAUGCAUCAAUUUCUUCUUCCUGAUGGCAGAUGGGAUCGGAGCACAGAUUUCCUGUUGCCCUGACCACCUCACCAUGAUAUUCGGUACCCGGGGACUAUGAGCUGAAUCAGCCAUUAUGCAAUUAUUUUAAUCAGAGCAAUGAGGAAAGAAACUAAGUCACCACCCCUUCUGGAUGUGCAGGGGAUGACAGGGCCAGUGAGGGAACACGCUAGACAAUGUGUGCCAGACCUUUGUUACUGAAGCAGUCAUUAGAGAGACUGAAGAGCAAGAGAGGCAUAAGCCACCAAAGGGAGAAAAGGUCCAUAGACUGGAGCCAAUUUCAGGAAGAGUUGUUCUGCGAGGUCACUGAAAAGGACUCUUUUGGUAUCAUAACAGCAUUGAUUUUUUUAAGCCUCUACAUUUUAGUUACGCCUUUGACUAUUUAUAGGAUUAUCAAAAUCUUGGAAAUCAUCUGAAGAUCAAAUUAAAUGAAUGGUAGUAGCAUUCAACGAGCUAUAGUCAUCCCAGAGUGGAUAAUGCACAAACUAUUCUGCUUGAAUGUUCUUGAAUUCAUGUGAAAAGUUGAUAAAAUAAUAAAGAGCUAUGCAGUUAAA